GUGGGGAAUUUUGGACAAUGGGCGCAAGCCUGAUCCAGCCAUGCCGCGUGCGGGAAGAAGGCCUUCGGGUUGUAAACCGCUUUUGGCAGGAACGAAACGGCGCGAGCCAAUACCUCGCGCUAAUGACGGUACCUGCAGAAUAAGCACCGGCUAACUACGUGCCAGCAGCCGCGGUAAUACGUAGGGUGCAAGCGUUAAUCGGAAUUACUGGGCGUAAAGCGUACGCAGGCGGCUUUGCAAGACAGGUGUGAAAUCCCCGGGCCUAACCUGGGAACUGCAUUUGUGACUGCAUGGCUAGAGUCUGUCAGAGGGGGGUGGAAUUCCACGUGUAGCAGUGAAAUGCGUAGAGAUGUGGAAGAACACCGAUGGCGAAGGCAGCCCCCUGGGAUGAGACUGACGCUCAUGUACGAAAGCGUGGGGAGCAAACAGGAUUAGAUACCCUGGUAGUCC
rnacentral:rRNA from 1 species